rnacentral:rRNA from 1 species
AUGGUGGUCGGGCCACUGUUGUCCAUCGUGAAGGACAAGGUGUCCAACAGCCUCCUCGCUCAGUACAAGCAAGUGGCUUCCCAUAGAGAAGGGACGGCUGCCUGGCUCCAGGCCAUCAAGAAGGUGGCUUACCAGGCCAAUGAAGUCUUCGACGAGUUCAAGUACGAGGCGCUUCGUCGCAAGGCCAAAAAGGAGGGGCACUACAAGGAGCUUGGCUUUGAUGUGGUAAAACUCUUUCCCACCCACAACCGUUUUGUGUUCCGUAACAGGAUGGGAAGAAAGCUCCGCAAGAUUGUGCAGGACAUUGAGGUCCUUGUGACCGAAAUGAACGCCUUUGGCUUUAAGUAUCAGCAACAGCCGCCGGUAUCCAGUCAGUUGCGGCGGACGGAUCAUGCUAGCACUGACCCAGAGGAAAUCAAGAAAAUCAUCAUCGAAUCUAGAGCCAACGAUCAGAAGAAAAUUGUUGAUAUACUAGUUGGGCAAGCUAACAAUGCAGAUCUCACGGUUGUUCCCAUCGUUGGAAUGGGCGGUCAGGGCAAGACCACGUUAGCACAACUUGUGUACAAUGACCCAAAAAUUCAGAAGUAUUUCGAUUUGCUGCUAUGGGUGUGUGUCUCUGACUGCUUUGAUGUGGAUUCUCUGGCAAAAAGUAUAGUUGAAGCAGCUCCUAAGAAGAAGAGUGAUAGGAAAGAAGCAGAUGCUUCCAUGAAAAAGAAAACACCACUGGAUAUCCUUCAGAAUGUGGUGAGUGGGCAACGGUACCUCCUUGUAUUGAAUGAUGUCUGGGCACGACAGGUUCAGAUUUGGACACAGCUCAAGGCCCGUCUUGAAUAUGGUGGCAUGGGUAGUGUGGUCUUGACAACUACUCGUGACGAACGAGUGGCUGGAAUAAUGCACACUAUUGAAGCUUACAAUCUCAAAGCUUUGGAUGAUAAAUUCAUAAAGAAAAUCAUCGAGACAACAACAUUCAGUCGUUUCAAGAAGGCAGAGAAAAGGCCCACCGAGUUGGUAGAUAUGGUUGAUGAGAUUGUGAAGAGAUGUGUUGGUUCUCCUUUAGCUGCAACAGAACUAGGCUCUGUACUGUGCACCAAGACCAGUAAGGAAGAAUGGGAGGCUAUAUCAAUCAGAAGCAGCAUUUGCACCGAGGAGACAGGAAUCUUAUCAAUACUCAAGCUCAGUUACAAUGACUUGCCGUCGCAUAUGAAGCAAUGCUUUGCUUUUUGUGCUGUAUUUCCCAAAGAUUACGAGAUUGAUGUGGACAAGCUGAUCCAACUAUGGAUUGCACAUGGUUUCAUACAGGAAAAGCAAGUUUGUCUUGAAACCAUUGGCAAACAAAUUUUCAGUGAGCUGGCAUCAAGGUCAUUCUUUCAAGAUGUGAAACAAGUCCAAGCCACAUCCAUAGAAAUUAGAUUCACCAAGGCAUAUUAUUCCAGAACUACUUGUAAAAUCCAUGACCUUAUGCAUGAUGUUGCACUAUCUAUAAUGGAAAAGGAAUGUGCCCAUGUAACUGAGGAACCUAGUCAGGGUGAGUGGCUUCCAAACACUGCUCGUCAUCUAUUUUUGUCAUGCAAGGAACCAGGAAGAAAAUUGAACGUUUCUCUCCAGAAAAGCUCUCCAGCUAUCCAAACUCUUCUGUGUGAUGGUCUUUUGCAAUGUUUGUUGCAGCAUUCAUCAAAAUACAGUUCUUUGCAAGCAUUACAGCUCAAUGUAUAUAUAAGAUCAUUUCCGCUGAAACCAAAGCAUCUACAUCAUCUGAGAUACCUAGAUCUCUCAAGAAGUUUUAUCAAAGAGCUUCCUGAAGAUAUGAGCAUUCUCUACAACCUUCAAACACUGAACCUCUCUGGCUGCAGUGCUCUUCUUGAACUUCCAAGACAAAUGAAGUAUAUGACUGCCCUCCGUCACCUUUACACUCAUGGUUGUGUACAGUUGAAGAGCAUGCCUAGAGACAUCAGAAACCUCACAUCCCUAUGCACACUUACAUGUUUUGUAGCAGGUAGUGGCUCCAAUUGCAGUAAUGUGGGAGAGCUCUGUCCUUUAAACCUUGGCGGUCUAUUAGAGCUAUAUUAUCUAGCAAAAGUGACAGAAGAAGAUGCAGAAGCGGCAAACCUCGUGAAUAAGCAGGACCUAAGAGAAUUGACUCUAGGAUGGACCCGUGGACAAUAUCAUUAUAAGGAAACUAGUUGUGCGGAUGAUGCAAGAGUCCUGGCCAAACUCAAACCUCAUGAUGGGCUGCAUGCUAUAAGCAUAUUGUCCUAUGGAGGAACAACCUUUCCAACAUGGAUGACUAUGUUGCAAAAUUUGAAGGAGCUCAGGCUGGAAAAUCUUGACUGUUUGGAGAGAUGGGGGGAAAUAGAUAAUGAUGAGAUGCAUAGUGAAAACAUAAUAAUCUUUCCUCGGCUUGAGAAGUUACUUAUUAUUGGCUGUACAAAGUUGACAGCAUUGCCAGGACGCCCGUCCUUCCCUGAGCUCCAGAACGCCUGUAUCAGAUAUUGUCCAGAUUUGAGAAUCACAGCUGAAUCACCAAAGCUCAGUGUAUUAAACGUGUACGGAAGUGAGGUAAAGUUGUUCCGGUGGUUAUCUAGACAUAUGACUUCAUUGACCAAUCUGGAACUGGAGAGCACUGCGUACAGAGCCACCCCGGAGGCUCAGUAUGGAUUGAGGGAAGUGUUGGAUGUCAAGGAAAAAUUGAAUGAUGAUGAUAUACCCCUGACAGUUUUGGUGUUAAAGAGCUUAAAAUCAAGUAUAACAGAGCUAUGUGCAUGUUUUGUACACCUUCAAGAUUUGUCAAUUAAUUUCUGUGAUGCACUCAUCCACUGGCCAGAAAGAGAGUUCCAAGGAUUAGUAUCCUUGAGGAAGCUUCAGAUUAGCUUCUGCAAUAAUCUGAUUGGAUAUGCACCAGAUUCUGCCGAGCCAUCAACAUCAUCAGAAACGAGUCAACUCCUGCCAAGUCUAGAGUCUCUGGUGAUAAAGGCAUGCCACAGGUUGGUUGAGGUCUUCAACGUACCUCCAUCUCUCAGGAGAAUGAAAAUUGAACAUUGUGAAAUGGUUGAGUCCCCAUUCGGCAGGAGGCUGCAGCAAGGACAGUCAGCAUUGUCCAUUCAUCAACAGUCAUCCAGUAUGCCUGAGGUGUCAUCAUCAUCGCCCGGAGCAGUGCCAGAGCAUUUAGAAGAACUAACACUAAUUAUGUGUUAUGGCUUAACAGGGGUCCUCCAUCUCCAUCCGUCCCUCAAGGAGCUAGUAAUUCGUCGCUGCGGUGGGUUGACAUCUCUGGAAUCCCGCUCGGGAGAGCUCCCAUCGCUGAAGCACCUCAGUCUUUCUGAAUGCCUUACGCUGUCAUCCCUACCGGAUGAGCCAGUAUCAUACUUACUUCUCGAAUAUCUUGGCAUUAGCUACUGCCCUGAUCUGAAGACGCUCCCUGCAAGCCUGCAAAAACUGCUGGGCAAAAUUGACAGGGAAUAUGUAGAUGCUCAUCAUUAUGGAAAUAAGCCUAUACUGCUGAAACCGAAGACAUGGAAAUAUGCCAUCCGCAGAGAUUAG